UACGUAGGGGGCGAGCGUUGUCCGGAUUUACUGGGCGUAAAGGGCGUGCAGGCGGUUUGUUAAGUGCAGAGUGAAAGCUCCCGGCUCAACUGGGAGAGGUCUUUGCAUACUGGCAAACUCGAGGGAGGCAGAGGAAAGUGGAAUUCCCGGUGUAGUGGUGAUAUGCGUAGAUAUCGGGAGGAACACCUGUGGCGAAGGCGGCUUUCUGGGCCUUACCUGACGCUGAGACGCGAAAGCGUGGGGAGCGAACCGG
rnacentral:rRNA from 1 species